UCUAGAGAGGGGAAUCUUAGGUAUAUACGUUUGCAUGUUUCAAAGCCUCUGGAUAACUGGAAUCUUUGUAAUUCUCUUUUCAGGGCCUUAGAGACAUUGAGAUUGUUCAAGGUGUUUGACCUUUGGAUAUUAAGGAGAUAAAAGUGAAGAGUUUUUGGCACUGGAUUAUCAGCAAGAUUCUGCAGUAACUUAUGCUGGGCUUGGUGGAAGUAAGCACCGUCUCAUUGGAAGGUCAGGAACAACAGUUAACGGAAUGAAGUUAGUCCCUUAUCCAAACCAUAAACACAAGAGACUCUGCAGGUGCUGGACUUCUAAAGCAACACAGUCAGAAUGCUGGAGGAACUCAGCAAGUCAGGCAGAGGAAUCAACAAUCAAUGUUUUAGGACCUCUUUGCUUUUCCUUACUAUGGCAUUUUGGCAGAGUAAAGGAAGUCACAGUGGUAUGAGAGAAGAGCUGGCCAAAGUAAAUUGGAAGGAGAUGCUGGCAGUGGUGACAGCAGAGCAACAGUGACGUGAAUUUCUGGGAAAGUGAGGAAGGCAGCCAUAAAACACAGAACCCAUUAAAAACAAAAGAAGACCAUCAAUCACCAAAUGUGAAGAGAGAGAGAGAAAAACAAAGCAAGCAAACAACAUUGCGAACUGAAGUUCACAACGCCAGGCAUCAUUUCAGCCGAUCCAGAAGUGCAUUCGUUGCAGGCCACAGCCUCCGCCCAGCACAGAGAUGAGCAAAUCCCGCAGAGCAGUGAGCCGAAGCGGCCCAUCUCUCGCCUCUGAUCCCAACACCUUGACCAUUUCAAUAUGGCCUGGUGCGUAAAUGGUCCAACCUUCCGGUCGUUCCUCACCCUCUGCCUCUUCGAAACACCCUUGGGCUCGGGCUCUGCUGUUUCAAUUCGAUGAGUCCUGUGCACGACCAGUAAGAGGAGAUUCGCCCAAAUACUCGUUUGAAUGUGGACAGAGGUAUUUUCAAAAGCACUUGGUGUGUAUGCCUAUCAUUUUUACGCAAAACCGGCGUUUUCAAAAUUAUCCGGUCUAGUGUGGACGUAGCCUAACUGCUAUGCUCCAGGGUGCGGUUCACAUAGAGGGUCUUGAUAUCUGAAGGUAAGGUGGCCAGUGUUCAAAGCUCUAAGUACAUUUAUUAUCAAAAUAUGUAUCCAUUAUACAACCUUGAGAUUUGUCUCCUCACAGGCAGCCACAAAACAAACUCAAAAAAACACAUUUAAAAAAGAAUGUCAAACACCCAAUGUGCAGAAAGAAAUAAAGACAAAUUGUGCAAACAAUAAAAGCAAGCAAAUAGUGUUCAGAACUGAAGUGCGUGAGGAAAGCCUGUCCACAGACACAAAGUCACAGAGGGUCUUGAUAUCCGAAGGUAAGACAGCCUGUGUUGUAGAUGAAAUGACAUUGAAAAUUAGAGAAAUGCAGAAAUCAAAAGGUUAGAGUCACAGCACAGAAACAGGACCUUCAGCCCAUCUAGUCUGUGCUGAACUGUUACUCUGCCUCAUCCUAUUGACCUGUAUCUGGACCAUAUCCCUCCAUAACCCUCCCAUCCAUGCACUUAUCCAAACUUCUCUUAACUGUUGCAAUCAAAAGUAUAUCCUCUAAUUCCUCUGGCAGCUCAUUCCACACUCACACCACCCUCUGAGUGAAGAUGUUUCCCCCUAAACAUCUCACCUCUCAUCCUUGACUUAUGAGUGGUGAAGAGAGUUCAGAGUAACGAGAGCACCUGAACUCGGGGGGGAUGGGUUGCAGACAAGGAGCAGAGUCAGUCAGUGAGUAUCAAGUUAGGGUGAGGCCCCAGCUGACAGAGCUGGCAGGGGAAGGAGGACUGAGGUUUCAGGGACUUCUUUCAGAGCACCUUUUGGAACCAUGAAACGAACGGACAUUCCUGGAGAGUAAGGAUAAGCUGAAUUGGAAACUCCUGGGUAACUCUUCAGUUCCACUUGGCAGGUUGCAAUGUGUGUGUGAAGAACUUGCGAAGGAAAUCACUGAGUGCCCGUGAAGUAUUCAUUAACACCUCUGAUCACAGUGUAGAGAUGACGUGGAAUCUUGCUGGAAGGUGCAAGUAGUUUGUAUGACUGAAGUAAAUGUGGACGUGUUAAAUUCUAGAGAUGAGUAAAACCGUGUUCUGAGCUCAGACUCUGGUUUUAAAUGGAGGAAAGUGACAAUUUUUCAUUUUAAUACAUGAGUUAUGUUCUGAACCAUAAAUUCAAUGUCAUCUGCAAGAACACACUUUAUAAAUUACAAGAAACAUACAAUCUUCUGGAGGAAUUCAAUGGAUUGAGCAGCAUCUGUGGGGAUGGGGGCGAAGGAAUUGCCAAUAUUAUGGUCAAAACUGCACAUAAGGGCUAUUCAGGUUCAGGAAUAGUUAUCACCCCUCAACCCCUGGGACUCCUGACCCAGCAUCAAUAAGCUCACUCAACCCAGCACUGAGCUGAAUCCACAACCUAUGGACUCUGCAACUCAUAUUCCCAAUAUUAUUUAUUACAGUAUAUCUACUAUUAUUAUUUUACUUUUCUUUUUGUGUUUGCACAGCUUGUUGCCUUUUGUUGGUGCUGGGGUGGAGACACGUCUCUGCCAAAGGAGGUGUGAGGCGCUCCUUCUCUCCGUUAGCCUGCAGGUCACCCUUGGACAAGGUGUAACACCUACUUAGCCCCUGAUCGGAUCACAUGAAGCCAUGGGAGCAGGUGGAGGACAAUCGUAUGAGCAGCCGGUGCAAAUCACAAGUCCUGGUUAUGAGGUCACUGACGCCAGGCAGAUGGUCUCUGAAGAGUAUUGAUAACGGCUGAAGUCACCAAUCUUGUAAAGACACUGUCUAGAAGAAGGCAAUGGCAAGCCACUUCUGUAGAAAAAUUUGCCAAGAACAAUAUUGCUCAUGCACCAUGAUGGUGAUGAUGAAAUCAGCAAAGAAAAUAAUUCCAAGUCCAGAUAAUACAAGCAGCACAGACGUCUGCAGUCACCAACAAAACAAUGGUGUCCAUUUACCUUAAUAAUACACUCAGUGGCCUCCUGUGCAUCUGCUCAUUUAUGCAAAUAUCUAAUUAGCCAAUCAUGUGGCAGCAACUCAAUGCAUUAAAGCAUGCAGACAUGGUCAAGAGGUUCAGUCGUUAGUCAGAUGAAAUAUCAGAAUGUAAUCUAAGUGACUUUGACCAUGGACUGAUUGUUGAUGUCAGAUGGGAAGGUUUGGGUGUCUCAGAAACUGCUGACCUCCUGGGAUUUUUAUGCACAACAGUCUCUAGAGUUUAUAGAGAAUGGUGCGAAAGACAAAAAAAAUCCCAGAGCGCCAGUUCUGUGGGUGGAAAUGCCUUGUUAAUGAGAGAGCUCAGAGUAGAAUGGCCAGACUGGUUCAAGCUGACAGCAAUUCAGAUAAUCACACAUUACACAGUGGUGUGCGGAACAUCUCAGAAAGCACUACAUGCCAAACCUUGAAGUGGAUGGGAUAUAGCCGCAGAAGACCACAAACAUACACUUUAUGAGGUACAGGAGGUACCUCAUGAAGUGACCACUGAGUUUACAGUCGACUGAGUUUCAGUCAGUUUUAUUUAAUGCAGAAUUAUCUGACACUUCAAUUAUUUUUUACAUGAUAUUGCUGCUUUGAGAUUUUACUUGCAUCUUUAUCUCAAUUUUUAGAGCAUAAGAUCAGCUAUUGUUUAUGAAUGAAGAGUGAUUUACAUGGAAACACUGACUGUGGUAACAAUUGUAGGGGAAGAAUAACGGAAUUUACCUUCCUGGUUAUAAAUGUUGAGUAAAACAUCCCUAACAUCUUCCAGAGCACCAAGCAGAAACAUUACGCCUGUUUCUCUCUCCACACUAUUUGCCUGAUUCAUUGCACAUUUCAAGCAUUUUGUAAAGUUGAGUUUCAGAUUUCGAGUAUCUGAGCUAUUUCAGUAGUAGAAUUGCAAUCACACGAGUCAUGUAUGAUGUUCUCCUAAGAGGUUGUCUAUUGGUGCGAGCAGUUUCAAUUUCCUAGGAGAGUAGAUCUUGUACAACCUGCCGUGGUCCCAGAAUACAUCCUACACAAUCUAGAAAGCUCACCAACACAUCUACUUUCUGAGGAGACUGAAGAGACUGGACUGUGCACAUCAAUCUUCACACCAUUCUACAGGUGCACAGUAGAGAGCAUGCUAACCAGCUACACGGUCAGAGAGUGUCCUGUGGUGGACAAUAAGGCUUUACAACGGGAGGUCCAAACUGCCCAAUGCAUCACUGGCAGCAGCCUACCCGCCAUCAAGGACAUAUAUACAGACAGGUGCCGGAAAAAUUUCAUGGAGGAUCCCACCCGCCCAGCUCAUGGACUGUUUGUCCCACUCCCUUCAGAGAGCAGACUACACAGCCUCCACACCGGGACCAUCAGAAUCAAAAACAUUUAUCUUCCCCAAGCAGUGAGGCUGAUCAACACCUCCACCCACUAACCCACACCUCCACACCCCCAACCACCACUACUUAUCAUUUCCUGUCAGUCACUUUGUGUACUGAUACUCCUGUUGCUAGCAUCACUUUAUGUACAUACGAGGGUGAUUGAUAAGUUUGUGGCCUAAGGUAGAAGGAGUCAAUUUUAGAAAAACUAGCAUAUUUAUUUUUCAACAUAGUCCCCUCCUACAUUUACACACUUAGUCCAGUGGUUGUGGAGCAUACGGAUCUUGGACCUACAGAAAGUGUCCUCAGAUGGGCAAUUGAUAAGUUUGUGGCCUAAGGUAGAAGGAGAUGAGUUAUACAUCUCUCAUUACAUGCACAUGCAGUUCAACUUUUUGAGUGAUUAUGCAGAAAGUUUGAAGUUAAUAACUCAUCUCCUUCUACCUUAGGCCAGAACCUUAUCAAUCACUCCUGAUGAGUUAUUAACUUCAAAUCAGCUAUAGCAUGCCCACAACUUUCUAACCCAAACCCUAACUGUAGGGUCUUUGGAAGACGGGAGGAAACCAGAGCACCUGCAGCAAUGUCAUGGGGAGAACCUACAACCUCCUGUCGACAGCAGCAUUUAUCGAACUCCAAUCGGUGAUCACUGGCACUGAAAAGCUAACUGCUUUGCCACCAAGCCCCCAUAAGGAUUGGCUUUGUUUCGAUUAUUAGGAGUUAUUUUGAAGAUAUGAAAACUAGACCGAGAAUUUCAACAAAGAUGCAGAUUAAAUUAAAACCAAAUAAAGGAAGUCUAUUGAGAUUUCCCCACAGUAAAUUGUUAAAAAGUGAUGUGACAAUCCCAAUACCUUCGGGUUUGGAGUCUACGUUGAGCACAAAAACUGCUGGUCAGGUUAUGCAGCAUCUAGGAAGAGGAAUUAACAGUUGACCUUUCAGGCCAGGACCCUUCAUCAGGACAUGUGGUAUGAAGUAGAUGUUAAAAUAUCAUCAAGAUCUGGCACCGCUACUGAAAUCUUCUUGCUUGUCCUUCACCAAUUGAAAAUUGAAUGGCAUUGGUAGAAAGCAAAGAUUAACUCUGGUUGAGACUGAAGCAAUUAAUGACAUCUUUGUUAAAAGAGCUUAUAUAAAAUAGGGAACAAAGGGGAUAACUUCACAUAACUUCACUUGCCCCAUCAUUGAAAUGUUCCCACAACUAAUGGAUUCACUUUCAAGGACUUUUCAUCUUAUGUUCUCAAUAUUAUUGAUUGUUCUUUUUGCAUUUGCACAGUUUGUUGUCUUCUGCACUCUGGAUGAAUGCCCUAGUCUGAUGGUCCUUUAUCGAUCCUGUCAUAGUUACUAUUCUAUAGAUGUACUGAGGAUGCCUACAAGAAAAUAAAUCUCAGAGUUGUAUAUGGUCACACAUAUGUAUUUCGAUAACAAAAUUUACUUUGCACAUCAUACAAAGACAUAAAAGCAAAUGUUAAAAAUGUAAUGACUUAUGAAAAGCCAUAGUUAAAUUUAUUUUUAUUUCCAGACCUGCAGAGUAUUCCUAUCCAUGGAUGAUAUUGCAAUACGGUGGCACAGUGAUGCAGUAUGUAGAACAGGACAGCACAGUUACAUAGUGGUUAGCACAUUGCUUUACAGUGCCAAUAACCCAGGUUCAAUUCCCACAACUGUCUGUGAGGAUUUUGUACUUUCUCCUCAUGAACACAUGGUGCUCCGGUUUCCUCACACAGUCCAAAAUCGUACAGGUUAUUACAUUAAUUGGUCACAUGGGUAUAACUAUGCAGUGUGGGUUCAAUGGCCUGGAAGGGCCUGUUAUCAUGCUCUAUCUUUUAAAAAAAUACUGUAGUCUCACAGUGCUAGUGCCCUGGGCUCGUGUGCAGUUUGUACUUCCUUCCUGUGACUGCAUGGAUUUAUUUCAAGUGUUCCGAUCUCAAAGAGAAUAGAUUUAUUUACCACAUGUUCAUCAAAAUAUACAGUGAAAUGUGUUGUCUGGGUCAAAUUAGGAUUGUGCUGGACUGCCCCAAGCAUACACCUGUAACUCACCAGUCCUAACUCGUACAUCUUUGGAACGUGGGAGAAAACCAGAGCGCCCAGAGGAAACCCACACAGUCAUGGGGAGAACGUACCAAGUUCUUACAUAGAGCAGCAGGAAUUGAACACCGAUUGAUGAUCACUGGAAUUGUAAAGUGUUAAGCUAACCACUACGCUUCUGUGCUGCUUCACAUCCCAAAAUUGUGGAGGUUGGUAGGAUAAUUGCCACUCUAAGUUGUCCAUAGUGUGUAGAAUCAGUGCACAUGUUGAUGGGGAUAAGGUAGGAUUAGUAUGGGGGCAGGGUUAAUGGUCAUUAUUACUCAGUGGACUGAAGGAUCUGUUUCCCUGCUGUAUUUCUCUAUAACUUAUGAAAAUAAAGCAGUCAUAAUCAAAUUGUGGAGAAGACUUGAUGGGCUGAAUGGCCUAAUUCUUCUAUGUCUUAUUGUCCCAUGGUCUAUUAAACUUCAGAGAGUUAGAGGAGA